AGCUGCGUGGUGAGCACAAAGUGAACUAUUCUUUCGCCUUUUACUAAAGAAUACCGUGUGCAUGCGACAUCAAGCAGCAUACACUUAUUUUUUGAAGGGUUCUCUCCUUUACAGGGGGGU
rnacentral:snRNA from 3 species